ACAUGCAAGUCGAACGGUAACAGGUCUUCGGAUGCUGACGAGUGGCGAACGGGUGAGUAAUGCAUCGGAACGUGCCCAGUCGUGGGGGAUAACGCAGCGAAAGCUGCGCUAAUACCGCAUACGAUCUAUGGAUGAAAGCGGGGGACCGUAAGGCCUCGCGCGAUUGGAGCGGCCGAUGUCAGAUUAGGUAGUUGGUGGGGGUAA
rnacentral:rRNA from 1 species